UACGAAGGGGGCUAGCGUUGCUCGGAAUCACUGGGCGUAAAGGGUGCGUAGGCGGGUCUUUUAAGUCAGGGGUGAAAUCCUGGAGCUCAACUCCGGAACUGCCUUCGAUACUGCAUGGCUUGAGACCGGAAGAGGUUAGUGGAACUGCGAGUGUAGAGGUGAAAUUCGUAGAUAUUCGCAAGAACACCAGUGGCGAAGGCGGCUGACUGGUCCGGAUCUGACGCUGAGGCGCGAAAGCGUGGGGAGCAAACAGG
rnacentral:rRNA from 1 species